CCUACGGGCGGCAGCAGUGAGGAAUAUUGGUCAAUGGACGCAAGUCUGAACCAGCCAUGCCGCGUGCAGGAAGACGGCUCUAUGAGUUGUACACUGCUUUUGUACGAGGGUAAACGCAGAUACGCGUAUCUGUCUGAAAGUAUCGUACGAAUAAGGAUCGGCUAACUCCGUGCCAGCAGCCGCGGUAAUACGGAGGAUUCAAGCGUUAUCCGGAUUUCUUGGGUUUAAAGGGUGCGUAGGCGGUCGGAUAAGUUAGAGGUGAAAUCCCGAGGCUCAACUUCGGAAUUGCCUCUGAUACUGUUCGGCUAGAGAGUAGUUGCGGUAGGCGGAAUGUAUGGUGUAGCGGUGAAAUGCUUAGAGAUCAUACAGAACACCGAUUGCGAAGGCAGCUUACCAAGCUACUUCUGACGUUGAGGCACGAAAGCGUGGGGAGCAAACAGGAUUAGAUACCCGGGUAGUC
rnacentral:rRNA from 1 species